rnacentral:rRNA from 1 species
CACCGCCCGUCACACCAUGAGAGUUUUUUGUACCCGAAGGCAUCUUAGCUAACCAUUUAUGGAGGCGGAUGACUAUGGUAUGGGAAGCGAUUGGGGUG